rnacentral:rRNA from 1 species
UACAGAGGGCCCAAGCGUUGCUCGGAUUCAUUGGGCGUAAAGGGUGCGUAGGCGGCGCGGUAAGUCGGGGGUGAAAUCUCGGAGCUUAACUCCGAAACUGCAUUCGAUACUGCCGUGCUUGAGGACUGGAGAGGAGACUGGAAUUUACGGUGUAGCGGUGAAAUGCGUAGAUAUCGUAAGGAAGACCAGUGGCGAAGGCGGGUCUCUGGACAGUUCCUGACGCUGAGGCACGAUGGCCAGGGGAGCAAACGGG